GAUAAUGCAAAACGAACUAAAGAAUACAAAGCUGAAAAUUUCCGAAGCUGAAGCAGCAGUAGAACACAUUGUGGAUCUCACAAAUAAAUUGGUAAUCUCCAUCAAAGAUGGCGACGACGACGUUUUGAAAUUGAACGAUGACCUUAGCCUCAAUCUACAGCAGCAGUUAUUCAAGAAACCUACUGAUAAUAUAAGGCUACAGAAGAAACAGCUCGAAACCGAGCUAGAGCUCACCAAGGAAAGCUUGAGACAAAAAGAAAUGGAAAUUCUAGCUGCAGAAAGAGCCUUGACCGUUAAAGACGAG
rnacentral:misc_RNA from 1 species